CAGCAGCCGCGGUAAUACGAAGGGUGCAAGCGUUAAUCGGAAUUACUGGGCGUAAAGCGUGCGUAGGCGGUUUGUUAAGUCUGUUGUGAAAUCCCCGGGCUCAACCUGGGAAUGGCAAUGGAUACUGGCAAGCUAGAGUGUGUCAGAGGAUGGUGGAAUUCCCGGUGUAGCGGUGAAAUGCGUAGAGAUCGGGAGGAACAUCAGUGGCGAAGGCGGCCAUCUGGGACAACACUGACGCUGAGGCACGAAAGCGUGGGGAGCAAACAGGAUUAGAUACCCCUGUAGUCCCUGUCUCUUAUAC
rnacentral:rRNA from 1 species